GCAGCAGCAGCACCAGCACCCGGCGCGGCGGCUGCGGAGCUCGGAGGCGGCUCCAGCCCAGGAAAAGAGGGCAGAAACAGCAGGUGGUGGAAAUCGCUGACAAUUGGGAUUCAUUUGAUCUGCCUGGACUGCAAAGGCCAACAAACACCGAGCCCAG